AUUAUACUCAAUGAAAGAUGUCAAGAAGAAAUAGUCAGAGAAAGGAUAUUUGUACGUUAAAAUCCAAUGACUUGUCCAUGAACAGAUAUUUACAAGUAUGCGUUUCAGAAUCUGGAUUCUCACUUGGCUCCUGUACGUCUGCAGACAGCAAUGCACCACAUUGGUUGCAUUGAUCUCUCCCUAAGCUGCCACCUGCCAUCGCCUCCCACCUUUGAUCCUUUGCCAUCAUUAGUGUCUUCAAACAGCACUGCUGUGUUCUGCCUGCAAAAACAAGCGUACUCCUCAGUGGAAAAAUACCACAUUCCAGCUUGGUGAAGCAGGUGGUGUGUUUCAUAGGAUGGAGCAGAAAGUAGCAUCUCUUCUUCUCAAACAAGAAGGAAGACUAUUAGCACAUCAGCACAGAAAGUCGUGCAUGAUGAAUUUUAAGUGCUGCCUCACAAAUGAAAAUGUGGUAAAGUUUGAAAAAUCAGCUUUGAAAAUGUAUUAAGUCCAUUAUUCAAACCCAAAGUCUUAACUUUUUUAAAAAACCAAUUUUCCCAUCUUUCAAAUAAGGGGGAUGGAGCAGAUGAUGUUCAAGAUGCUCAAAAUUCUUUUUGCUCCGUGAGAUCUAAAACCUGACCUUGGCAUCACGUAAUGACCAUCACAGUCAACACUGCUCACAACAUACACAAUGGGAUGCCUGGUAUGUUUUACAGCUAUUAUCUGGACUAAAUAUCCCAUUUCAUUUCUAGCCUAGGUAGACAGAAGAUGAAAAGGUUUGUGUUUUUUUCUUUAUGUGGACAAUCCAAGUUAAUGUAAUUAUGUUACUCAGAGUCUGGGAAAUGAAGAAGCAACAAACAUAUUUGAACAUCAGAGUUUCUGCUGCAGGCUCAGAAUAACUCAGUUUUUAAUUUCUCUUCUUGGAAGAAGGUUCCUUUUUUCUAUGAAGGCUCACUCUUCUGAAUAGGACCAAAUGGAGCUUCAACAACAUGGAUACAAAAUACCACAACCAAGAGUGGGAGCUGUGCCAUGCCACAGACACAGCCUUGCAAAUGCAGGGAAUUCUGCCUGAUUCUGACUAGAACUGGUUAAGGAAAAGGCUGACACCAAACAGAGCAGCAUCCUUCAUGGCAAAGGCCUCAGCCACUGGGUCACUUCUAACUGUGACAACUGCAAUAUAGGGCCAUACUGUCCUCCAGCUGAUACCAUAUAUACACAAAGAAAUGACUUUUCAUUUUUGCAUGGUUUUCCCACACACUGCUGGAAUGACCAAAGCAGAAAGUCUACGGUUUUGCUACAUAUGCUACAUAUGCAGAAGCAACCUUGCAUACUAGUGUGGUUUCAUUUUUGAGAUCAAAGAAAGCCAACAUUAGACUCACUCAGCUCAGCUGGGUAUGAUUCCAUAGGGAAUACAGCACCACAAUUCCAUUGUAAUAAUGUCUUCCUUUAUUUACAAGGAUGGCAAGAGAAGGAGUGACUCAAUAUAGCCAAUUCUGAACCCUGAAACAUCAUGCACACCAAUAACAAGCUAUGGAAGCCUG